GAUGAACGCUGGCGGCGUGCCUAAUACAUGCAAGUCGAGCGAACAGAUGAGGAGCUUGCUCCUCUGACGUUAGCGGCGGACGGGUGAGUAACACGUGGAUAACCUACCUAUAAGACUGGGAUAACUUCGGGAAACCGGAGCUAAUACCGGAUAAUAUAUUGAACCGCAUGGUUCAAUAGUGAAAGACGGUUUUGCUGUCACUUAUAGAUGGAUCCGCGCCGCAUUAGCUAGUUGGUAAGGUAACGGCUUACCAAGGCAACGAUGCGUAGCCGACCUGAGAGGGUGAUCGGCCACACUGGAACUGAGACACGGUCCAGACUCCUACGGGAGGCAGCAGUAGGGAAUCUUCCGCAAUGGGCGAAAGCCUGACGGAGCAACGCCGCGUGAGUGAUGAAGGUCUUCGGGUCGUAAAGCUCUGUUAUUAGGGAAGAACAACUGUGUAAGUAACUAUGCACGUCUUGACGGUACCUAAUCAGAAAGCCCCGGCUAACUACGUG
rnacentral:rRNA from 1 species